ACGGCGAGUGAAGCGGCAACAGCUCAAAUUUGAAAUCUGGCGGCCUCUGGGCCGUCCGAGUUGUAAUUUGAAGAGGAUGCUUUUGGCGAGGCGCCUUCCGAGUGCCCUGGAACGGGACGCCACAGAGGGUGAGAGCCCCGUAUGGUUGGACGCCGAGCCUCUGUAAAGCUCCUUCGACGAGUCGAGUAGUUUGGGAAUGCUGCUCAAAAUGGGAGGUAAACCCCUUCUAAAGCUAAAUACUGGCCAGAGACCGAUAGCGCACAAGUAGAGUGAUCGAAAGAUGAAAAGCACUUUGAAAAGAGAGUUAAAUAGCACGUGAAAUUGUUGAAAGGGAAGCGCUUGCGACCAGACUUGUGCCCGUCGAAUCAGCCGCCGCUCGCCGGCGGCGCACUUCGGCGGGCUCAGGCCAGCAUCAGUUCGCUGCAGGGGGAGAAAGGCGGCGGGAAUGUGGCUCUUCGGAGUGUUAUAGCCCGCCGCGCAAUACCCCUCGGCGGACUGAGGACCGCGCAUCUGCAAGGAUGCUGGCGUAAUGGUCGUCAGCGACCCGUCUUGAAACACGGACCAAGGAGUCGUCCUAAUAUGCGAGUGUUCGGGUGUAAAACCCCUGCGCGUAAUGAAAGUGAACGGAGGUGAGAGCUUCGGCGCAUCAUCGACCGAUCCUGAUGUUCUCGGAUGGAUUUGAGUAAGAGCAUAUUGGGCCGGACCCGAAAGAAGGUGAACUAUGCCUGUAUAGGGUAAAGCCAGAGGAAACUCUGGUGGAGGCUCGCAGCGGUUCUGACGUGCAAAUCGAUCGUCAAAUAUGGGCAUGGGGGCGAAAGACU
rnacentral:rRNA from 1 species